CAGGCUCCCCGUGGGCCCGGGAGCACAGGGGCGGCUUUCAGGCAGCUGCCAGAGCUGUCCCCACGCUGGCCUCUAACUGCCCCGACCCCGGGAAUGUGAGCUGCCUGUCUUCCUCCCGCUCAGGCGCCGGGGACAGCUGACCUGUCUCAGCCGGCUGGGAGGGGUCCCCGGGAGAGUCAGGUUCUCUAGCUGUGCCCAGGUUCUGUUGAAGCCAGGCCCUGGCUUUUCAUCUGGCCAUGCCUCUGGGCACUGUCAACCCAGCAGCUUUCCCACCGGAGGCCUGACAGCAGUUGGGAAGCACCCCUGGGCCCGCUGAAGUGGGGGGCCGCCAGGAGACUGAAGCAGCCGGGGCCUGGGGAUCCCCACACACACCGGAGGGUGGCUGCAAUGAGUCAGCCGGCCCCGGACAGCAGGCAGGUGCUGGGGGGUGUGGAGAUGCCACUGACUUUGAAGGUCACCACCAUCAGCACUCAGCUGAGACUCUGCAGAAAACCACCAGGGAGGUCUCCCAAACACACAUUCCCACCCGCUUGUCCCUGGAUUUCCCAGCUUCCCUUGCACCUAGAAUGUAACCCAGCUCUGGCCAAUGAGCGAAAGGAUUCCAAGGAAGUUUUUUCUUUCUGAAUUAAAAGGCAAGGAUUUCAAGGAAAAUAUACUUCACUAUACCCUUCUUCUCCUUGCCUGGAAUGUGAAUGUGAUGACUCAAGACGAGGCAGCCAUAUUAGCACUGUGUGGACAAAAGCCAGACACUAAGACUGGGCGAGCAGGAAGCUGGAGUCAUCUGGAUCCUCCUCUAGGGACCUGUGCCUGGUGGCAAGUCCUUGCCAUGUCUCCAGCAUGAGGGACAGUGUGAGGUCCCCAGUGCUCUUUUUGGGGAGGAUGUUCCUUCAUGCUAAGACCAUGUCCUUCAUACUGUGGGUUUCAGAAUGUAACUUCCUUCAUGAAAUGAUCAUCCAUGAUGGGAUUCAACAUUUUUUUAUUCUGGUUUUGUUCCCAUCCUUCCCUUGCAAAAUAAAAAAUUGGCAUCCUUGUUAUCCCA